rnacentral:rRNA from 1 species
AACGAACGCUGGCGGCAUGCCUAACACAUGCAAGUCGAACGAGACCUUCGGGUCUAGUGGCGCACGGGUGCGUAACGCGUGGGAACCUGCCCUUAGGUUCGGAAUAACUCCCCGAAAGGGGUUCUAAUACCGGAUAAUGUCUUCGGACCAAAGAUUUAUCGCCUUUGGAUGGGCCCGCGUUGGAUUAGCUAGUUUGUAGGGUAAAAGCCUACCAAGGCGACGAUCCAUAGCUGGUCUGAGAGGAUGAUCAGCCACACUGGGACUGAGACACGGCCCAGACUCCUACGGGAGGAAGCAGUGGGGAAUAUUGGACAAUGGGCGAAAGCCUGAUCCAGCAAUGCCGCGUGAGUGAUGAAGGCCUUAGGGUUGUAAAGCUCUUUUACCCGGGAUGAUAAUGACAGUACCGGGAGAAUAAGAUCCGGCUAACUCCGUG